rnacentral:miRNA from 1 species
CCUGGACUCCCUCUGUAGACCAGGAUGGCCUCCAACUCCCAGAGAUCCGCCUGUCUCUGUCUCCUGAGUGCUGGGAU